UGUGUAGUCGUGUCUCUUAGGCAAAUCCGGGAGAAUUAGAUGAGGCGUGAUAACGAGUCUGCUUGCAGACGAAGUGAGUGAUACCCUGCUUCCAAGAAAAGCCACUAAGCUUCAGCUUGUAAUUGACCGUACCGCAAACCGACACUGGUGCGCGAGAUGAGUAUUCUAAGGCGCUUGAGAGAACUCUGGAGAAGGAACUCGGCAAAUUGGCACCGUAACUUCGGAAGAAGGUGUGCCUUUAGUAGGUGAACCAUUCACUUGGGGAGCCCAAUGAGGCCGCAGAGAAUCGGUGGCUGCAACUGUUUAUUAAAAACACAGCACUCUGCAAAGACGAAAGUCGACGUAUAGGGUGUGACUCCUGCCCGGUGCUGGAAGAUUAAAUGAUGGGGUGCAAGCUCUUGACUGAAGUCCCAGUAAACGGCGGCCGUAACAAUAACGGUCCUAAGUUAGCGAAAUUCCUUGUCGGGUAAGUUCCGACCUGCACGAAUGGAGUAAUGAUGGCCACACUGUCUCCUCCAGAGACUCAGCGAAGUUGAAAUGUUUGUGAUGAUGCAAUCUCCCCGCGGAAAGACGGAAAGACCCCAUGAACCUUUACUGUAGCUUUACAUUGGACUUUGAACAGAUCUGUGUAGGAUAGGUGGGAGGCUUUGAAGAGUGGACGCUAGUUUGCUUGGAGCCAACGUUGAAAUACCACCCUGGUGUGUUUGAGGUUCUAACCUUGGUCCCUUAUCGGGAUUGGGGACAGUGUAUGGUGGGCAGUUUGACUGGGGCGGUCUCCUCCCAAAGUGUAACGGAGGAGUUCGAAGGUACGCUAAAUACGGUCGGAAAUCGUGUUGAUAGUGCAUUGGCAUAAGCGUGCUUGACUGCGAGACUGACAAGUCGAGCAGGUACGAAAGUAGGACAAAGUGAUCCGGUGGUUCUGUAUGGAAGGGCCAUCGCUCAACGGAUAAAAGGUACUCUGGGGAUAACAGGCUGAUACCGCCCAAGAGUUCAUAUCGACGGCGGUGUUUGGCACCUCGAUGUCGGCUCAUCUCAUCCUGGGGCUGUAGCCGGUCCCAAGGGUAUGGCUGUUCGCCAUUUAAAGAGGUACGUGAGCUGGGUUUAAAACGUCGUGAGACAGUUUGGUCCCUAUCUUCCGUGGGCGCUGCAAGAUUGAGAGAGCCUGCUCCUAGUACGAGAGGACCGGAGUGGACGCACCUCUGGUGUAUCGGUUGUCACGCCAGUGGCAUCGCCGAGUAGCUAAGUGCGGAAGAGAUAACCGCUGAAAGCAUCUAAGCGGGAAACUCGUCUCAAGAUGAGUCUUGCCGGGGCCUAGAGCCCCCUGAAGGGUCGUUCGAGACCAGGACGUUGAUAGGCUGGGUGUGGAAGCGCGGUAACGCGUUAAGCUAACCAGUACUAAUUGCCCGUGAGGCUUGACCCU
rnacentral:rRNA from 1 species